rnacentral:rRNA from 1 species
CCCUAUGGGGUGCAGCAGGCGCGAAACCUCUACAAUGCACGAAAGUGUGAUAGGGGGACCCUGAGUGCUCAGCUAUGCUGGGCUUUUGUUAAGAGUAAAAACCUUGGCGAAUAAGUGGUGGGUAAGACAGGUGCCAGCCGCCGCGGUAACACCUGCGCCACAAGUGGCAAUCGUUGUUAUUGGGCCUAAAGCGUCCGUAGCAGGUCUUGUAAAUCUUUUGUGAAAUUGUUGCGCUUAACGUAACAGCGUGCAAGAGACACUGCAAGACUCGGGACCGGGAGGAGUCAGAGGUAUUUUGUGGGGAGCGGUAAAAUGCUAUAAUCCACGAAGGACCACCUAUGGCGAAGGCAUCUGACCAGAACGGAUCCGACUGUGAGGGACGAAAGCUAGGGGAGCGAACCGGAUUAGAUAUCAAGCAUCUUCUACAACAAUUCUUGUCUGUUCGUCGACAAACUACUGGAUAAGAUAAGAAAUGAGGAUGAUAACUUGACUAAAUACCCGAGUAGUCCUAGCUGUAAACUCUGCGAGCUAGGUGUUGCACAAUCUUCGGGAUUGUGCAGUAUCGAAGCGAAGGCGUUGAGCUCGCCGCCUGGGAAGUACGGUCGCAAGGCUGAAACUUAAAGGAAUUGGCGGGGGAGCACUACAAGGGGUGCGGCGUGCGGUUUAAUCUAACUCUACACAGAGAAUCUCACCAGAAGCGACGGCACUAUGAAAGUCAGAUGAAGGUUUACUUGAUGAGCCGAGAGGUGGUGCAUG